GGAGGCACUCUGACCAGCCAUGCCGCGUGCAGGAAGACUGCCCUAUGGGUUGUAAACUGCUUUUAUACGGGAAGAAACACUCCUACGUGUAGGGACUUGACGGUACUGUAAGAAUAAGGACCGGCUAACUCCGUGCCAGCAGCCGCGGUAAUACGGAGGGUCCAAGCGUUAUCCGGAAUCAUUGGGUUUAAAGGGUCCGCAGGCGGUCAAUUAAGUCAGAGGUGAAAUCCCAUAGCUUAACUAUGGAACUGCCUUUGAUACUGGUUGACUUGAGUUAUACGGAAGUAGAUAGAAUGUGUAGUGUAGCGGUGAAAUGCAUAGAUAUUACACAGAAUACCGAUUGCGAAGGCAGA
rnacentral:rRNA from 1 species